rnacentral:pre_miRNA from 1 species
UAGUUUCGUCCUAAGUCAAACUUCUCUAGCUUUGACCAAGUUUAUACCAAAAUAUAUUAACAUCUACAACACCAAAUAAAUGAACUAUCAGGACAGAUUAUGGUGGAUUUGAUGGCACUAAUUUGAUGUUGAAGAUGUUGGUGCAUUUUUCUAUAAAGUUGGUCAAAGUUAGAGAAUUGACUUAGGAAAAAACUAA